GACGAACCGUGUGAACGUUAUUCGGAAUCACUGGGCUUAAAGCGCGUGUAGGCGGAUGGGGACGUCGGUCGCUGAAAUCCCCCGGCUCAACCGGGGAACUGGCCCCGAAACGCCCCGUCUGGAGGAACGUAGGGGGAUCUGGAACUUCCGGUGGAGCGGUGAAAUGCGUUGAGAUCGGAAGGAACGCCCGUGGCGAAGGCGGCCUUCUGGACCAGCACUGACACUCAAGCACGAAAGCGUGGGGAGCAAACAGG
rnacentral:rRNA from 1 species